CAGGGGAUUGCAGUGGCAAAGCUAGGCUAGGUCUUGGAGGCUGGUGUAAGGCGAUGCGGGUGAAGGCAGGAGGCUGAUGGAAAGACUGGGGGGAAGAAAAGCCGAAAUGGAUUCACGGUGCCUUGGAUGAAGGACGAGAGGGGAACUGCAAGCUCCUUCAACUGGUUCUGUCCGGUGAGAAGUGAUCAAGCUUGGGCUGACAAGAGGCUCAGGGAGCCCUCACGUUCUUUCGCUUUUUUACCUGCCAAUCAAACUGCUACAAGACAACACCCUGAUCUGGCAUGGACAUCGCGGGUCCAAGCCUGUAGCCCCAAAUCGGAUAAUCUCUGCAGCUGAUAACAAGCAAAAGAGAAGCCAGGCAACAGCCAUAUUAAAGAAGAAAACAAUCAACUCUGAGGCGGAGUCUUGCUCUGUUGCCCAGGCUGGAGUGCAGUAGCACAAUCUUGGCUCACCACAACCUCCACCUCCUGAGUUCAAGGGAUUCUCCUGCCUCAGGCUCCUGAGUAGCUGAGAUUACAGGCUCCCACCACCAUGCUCAGCUAAUUUAUCCAACUUAGAAAUAAUGUUUCAUUCAAGAUAAGGCUCGUGAUUUAGGAGAUUGUGACCUGGCUUGCAUCAUUCUAAGACUUCUAUCAUCUGUUUUCAAAACCCAAGGAGGACCUCAUUUUCUGUGUGAUAGUUCCUCAUGCUUUGCCAGCCACUGUGUCUUUAAGGAAGCUUGCCAAGAGUUCCUGGCUGGGAAGGACAGUUCGAGUUCAUCAUAGACAAUGAGCUGGCACCACAUUUUAAGUGACUCACCAA
rnacentral:sRNA from 1 species